rnacentral:rRNA from 1 species
UACGGGGGGAGCAAGCGUUGUUCGGAUUUACUGGGCGUAAAGGGCGCGUAGGCGGCCACCGCAAGUCAGUUGUGAAAGCCCUGGGCUUAACCCAGGAACUGCAUUUAAUACUGUUAAGCUAGAGUACAGUAGAGGAAAGUGGAAUUUCCGGUGUAGCGGUGAAAUGCGCAGAUAUCGGGAGGAACACCAAUGGCGAAGGCAGCUCGCUGGGACGUUACUGACGCUGAGACGCGAAAGCGUGGGGAGCAAACAGG